rnacentral:rRNA from 1 species
CGAGGGGUCCUAGCGUUGUCGGAAUCACUGGGCGUAAAGCGUUUGUAGGCGGCUUUGCAAGUCGGGUGUGAAAUCCCACGGCUCAACCGUGGAAGUGCAUUCGAAACUGCAGAGCUUGAAUAUGGAAGAGGGCAGUAGAAUUCCUGGUGUAGUGGUGAAAUACGUAGAUAUCAGGAGGAAUACCGGUGGCGAAGGCGGCUGCCUGGUCCAAUAUUGACGCUGAGAAACGAAAGUGCGGGGAUCAAACAGGAUUAGAUACCCUGGUAGUCCGCACCGUAAACGAUGGAUACUUGGUGUUGGAGGUAUCGACCCCUUCAGUGCCGAAGCUAACGCGUUAAGUAUCCCGCCUGGGAAGUACGGUCGCAAGAUUA